AAGCGAAUCUUUAGCAAAUGCAAAUCAGCAUAGAGGCCUCUGAGGACUUCAAUGACCAAGAGAAAUUAAGCUCCCAACAGGAAGGAAAGGCCUCUCUGACUAAGCUAGGAGUCUCUUGCAUGUCCCAAGUCAGAAGGCAGAGGUGCCUAACUGCUGGAUUCCAGCUAGCACAUAAAUAAUGAUCUAACUCACCCCCCUCUUCCGGGAGGCACACACCGGCACGCACACAGACAGUUACUCAUGGUGCCGGGGCUGCUCACGGAGCCCCAAACCCACAAGAGCUGGGGAGUUUCCCGAGGGCCCAGCUUCCUUUUCCUUCAGUUGGCCAAACCUCUGCAUGCUUUAAACAAGACUGUUUCAUUUUCUGAAAGUGCUUUAUUUUUCCCUCUGAGGAUGGGGAAAAAUCAGGAUGCAUUUUUCCUUAGUCCCCAUUUCCCCCCAGACUGCCUCACUCCAGCAGCCGCGUGGACCAUAGCAUCUGACUUCUAGAACCCUUGCCACUGUUUCAAAGGUCAUGAGUUACGAAGUUGAUUUACUGACCCAUGAAUGGGUCACAACCCGCAGUUUGGAAACAGCUUGAUGGACCCCCACCUGUGCUUUCCAGCUUCUCAUAGAGCCUCAGGGCCCCAGGAAGGCGGUGUGGUCUCUGAAGACAGGAACCACUAAUGGCAUGGUGUCCCGGCCCACCUCCAGCACCGCCAGGGGCCGUCAAGCUGCCCCAGCCCCUCUGCGAGCACCACAUGCCCUACUGCACCUGGAGGAAGGACCAUGACUUUGGGAUGAAGAAGGUCCUCUCCUGGGAGAAAUGCUUCAACUUUUGCAAAAGAUUAAUUCAUCAACAUGGCGCCCAGAAAAAAAAUGCAAAAGAGAAGACUCAAGUUGUGGUAGACCCAAGGUGGCUGCAAACUGUCUGAGAUUUUCCUCAUCGAGAGGUGGGGCUCUAAGUCCCCUCCCUUGAACCUAGGCAGGCCCUCUGACUGCCUGACCAAAGGAACAGCGUGGACGCAACGCUGUACCAGUUUUUGAGGCUAAGCCUGAAGAGACCGGCAGUUCCCACUUCCUGUCUUUUGGGAAUAAUUGUUCUUGAAACCUAAGUGCUAUGCUGUGAGGAAGCCAAGCAGCCUCGUUGACAGGCCCACAUUGAGCGGAACCAAACCCUGGCCAGCAGCUCCUGCUGCGCCCCCAGCUGACAGCCAGGUUUGACUUGUCUUGCAUACCAGUAUGUCAUGUUGGAUGAGGAUCCCCCAGCCCCAGCAGGGCCAUCUCAGCUGAUGCUCCAAGAAGCAGAGAUGAGCCAUCCCCACCGAGCCCUGCCCAAAUCACAGAUUUGUGAGCAAAAUAAAUAUGUUAUU